AUGAACUUAUGUUUUUUCGUACUUUUAAUAUGUAUCUACGUACACAUCAUCCAAACAUCGAUGAACCUACAUAUCUAUAUACCAUAGGUAUACCUUAUACAAUAUACAGGGUUCAUUGGAUAUCAAAAUUAUUUCGGUACAUAAGGUACCUAACUGUUAUAGGUACCCACUAUGUUUACGAUAUUUUUAGCCAUAAAAGUCCAAUCAAAACCGAAAAAAAACAAGCCAAAGAACCGCCGAAACCAUAUUCUUUUCUAUAAAAUGUAUAUAAUAAUGUUUAGCGGUAUUUUUUAACACGACGAUCACGCCAUACCGCUGACCGACGAAUGCGCUUGCGUGUCGGAAUCACGCCACUAGAUCACUAGUCAUCUAAUCGAUUUCUGGAAACGUAUAAAUACCCGUAUAUGAUUUCUAUUCCGGCAUAACACAUCUUUUUGUGAGAAUAAUUAUUUGGUAAGUGGUUUUCCUACCUACCCACCUACCUAUUUAAAAUGCAUCUACACAUUUUUCAUUCGACCAUUUUUUGAAAUUUUGAAUCAUAUUUCUUUCAGACUUCGAUUUCACUACACGAAACCAAAACCAAAAAUCAAAAAUGGGCGCUGAAAAGGUAUCCAUGAACAUCGUUGUCGUCGGACAAGUAUCCAUGAACAUCGUUGUCGUCGGACAAGUCCAAUCUGCCAAGGCCAUCAAAACCGUCGCCAAGGCCGCUCCAGCCACCAGCCAAUUGAUGGUAAGUACAUAUUUUCAUCACAAAUAUCGUUUUUUUUUUUUUUUUUUCUUUAAUUCUGAGCAGAGCAUUCAUUUGCCGUUUCGGAAAAUAUUCAUGGUGAUUAAAAACUACUUGAAAGUCGGUUUUCCUUCGUAUUCCUUAAUUAUAGUUUUUAAAUAAGCCCUGAAGCGGUAUAUACAUUAAACAAAAUCGAUCAAUUAUUAAGUAUGACAAUUGAUUUUUGUUAGGUAUUUUGCCUCAACCAAAAUAUCGAAAAAUAAUAAAUCUUUUUGUUUCAAAAUAUUCGUAAUAAAUUAAUAAAAGUUAAUUUUAGUAUUCUAAAAAUUCGAAUUUUCUCGGUCACUACAACUAUAACAAUAAAUUAAUUUGUACUUAUGGUUUUUUUUCGGUUCUGAUACUUAAUUAUUUUACUUAAAAUAUGUUUUUGAGUUACACGUCAUGUUUUGUUUUUUUUUGAUUUUUAAUUUUAAUGAUAAUGUUUGUUUUUUCAGACUUGUUAAUUUAAGACACAUUCAUCAACCAUCAACUCAAAAAUGCCAUAGCCCAAACAAUGCAUAGGUACGGUAUGUACUUACCUAAUAUGUAUUGAUAUCACUUUAAAAUAAACCAUUCUCAGUUUUAUAAUUCAUUGUUUUAUUUUUUUAUUUAUU
rnacentral:lncRNA from 1 species